GGGCCGCUAGCUCAGUUGGUAGAGCAGCUGACUCUUAAUCAGCGGGUCACAGGUUCGAGCCCUGUGCGGCCCA
rnacentral:tRNA from 1 species